UCAUCCCUCCUUAUGAGGUUGACAUGAACAGAGGACCUCCUAUCUGCAGGCUCAAGCUCUUUUGGACACUCCGACUUUCUGAUGCUCUGCAUUUAGAUGUAACAAACUAUUAAGAUCAACACCAAGCCAUAAUGCCUGAGUUAGUUUAGUUGUUGCAGAAAGUUGGAAUGAAAAUGAAGGGAAAAAUAUAUAUGUGCAGGAACUUAAGGUGUAUCUAGCAAAUGAAGGCUAAUAAAAGAUUUUUAAAACAAAUUAUGGUAUAACAUGGAAGGAGAAAUGAAAUGCAGCAUUUAUUUCAUACUCUACAUUUUACAAUACAAAGCACAAGGACAAAACCCUGUCAUUCUGCUCUGUUGCAGCACCUUGUUUGGUGCUUCUGAUUUUCAUCUUUUUAUCAGCAUUUUCCUUUACCUUUUUCAGGGAUGGAAUUGAAUUACCAUUACCUCUAGGAAAGAUGCAUUUUCAGGAUCAUCUAACCUCCUCAAGGGACCAUCAUUCACUGUGAAGCCAUUACUCCAAAAGACAAUGUUGUGAAUAACAGUCUCAGGCUGUUGAGGAGCAGUUGGUACUAAUUCCCCAGAAAGUAAUCUUCCAGUCCCAGUAAAGCUUCUUGAGCUUGAUGAAGGAUUUAUCAUGGGGCCUUCCACUGCUCCCAAUUGCCUAGCUUGAUUGAAAAUUGCAUCCACAUCAUUACCCUUUGAAGGGUCUUGGACAAGCAUCCCACUGCAGACGUUAUUAUUACCAAUGUUAGUCAAUCAUCAUGCAUAUGUUAAAAUAAUAUUAACAUUUGAUUAAUAAGAGCUGAAAUGUAAAGAUGACAUACGUUAGUACAUAUAAUGAAAAAAUUAAGGACAGAGAUCCCUAAUUCAAUAAGCUGUGGGACUAUUUAACUCAGCUUAGCAAGAAAUGUAAAUAAUAAUGAGGCCAACAUAUAAUCUAAUACCCUUGUUACAUGUAGAAAUUUGGGCAUUCCUAUAAGAAACACCUCUCUAGAUUGAUGUAUAUAGAGAAAGAGUGCUGUCUUCAAUGCUCUUGUGUGUAUUAGCCAUACUUAAGCUUCUUACAAUGAAAACUGAUUUUAAAGUACAGUUUCAUAGAAUUUGGAAAACAAAAAGGAAAAUACAGAAAUUUUAAGUGGCAGCGGCUUCUUGCACCAAGAAGACAGAGAGAAUGGAGCAUGCCUCAAUCAAUGUUUAUUCAAGGAUUUCAACUUGCACUUCAUCAGUCUAAGAAUAACUCGUAAAAGGGAACCGUGGUGACAAAUAGACUAUCUGAUGUAUGCAUACUUGACUCACGACAUGUAACGGAUACCAAAUAGCAGAAUUACUAGUUCAUGGUCUGAGCUCAUUACUGGCUCACCUUGACUAACGAUUUGUGGACCAAUAGAAUGUGUGUCAAUUAGGAUCAACAAGUUAGUGCCAACUCCGAGUGAAAUCAUUUGGGGUGUUUUGAAAUAAUAGUUAAAAUUAUGCAGAAACUAGAGUUCCAAUCCCAAGGGAAGGUUUUGUUACUUCUAAUUUCUUUAUACAAGUAAAAGCAGGAGAAGCUAUUGCAAAAAAAUAACCGGUUAGGAAUUCCACAAAGCUGCAUAAAAUAUCCAAGACAAGGUUGCAAUAAAGUUUAGAACAUUAAAAUCUAUCCAGAAGAAAGAAUUAUUGACCAACCAGAAUGCAUAAAAAUAUUAGAGCUGCCAUAUCAGCAAAACUUUCAUUUUACCUCUAAUUUCUUCAUUGAAAUAGAAGGAAGAUAAAGUAAAUACACAACUUGUUAGAAUUCCAAAAAGCUGCACAAAAUAUCCAAAAUAAGUAUGAAAUGCAGUUUCAACCACUAGAAAUCUCCCCAGAAAAGACAAUUGUGAACCAACAGAAUGCAUGGAAGGUACAGUUCACAAAGGUACAAUUAUCUCCCUACCCCUUGGAACCUAGGGGCAUGAUGCAAUCCAAGGCGCAUGCUUGCAUGAAGUGAGGCACAAGCUAGGGUACAUGCGCAAUUUCAUAAAAUACUGUAAAUUUGGCUCUAGUGAGCUUAAAUAGAAGAAAUAAAAACAUAGACAAGGUGUGCUUCCUCAAUAAGGCAUGCCCUUUGCCAGGAGAAGCACCACAGUAGGGCAAUUAGUGGGCCUUGGGCCUAGGUGUGCCUUUAACAACUAUCUUACUAUACAAGAUAUUUGCACCCUUAAUUUCACUCCCAUAAAAUUCAUGAUUGUCAUUCUUCAUGCAACAGUCCAACCACCAGCUACAUCAUUUAAACCAUUACACUUCCAUGUAUUCUUGACUAGCUCCAACAACCAUUUGUUGAUGUUUCCCCUUUCUUUCACUAUUCUCAACAUGUUUUAACUAGGAGGCAGAUGACCACCAAUUAAAUUCUUAGCAGCAGCACACCGUCUGAAUAAAACAUCCAAGCAGUCUCACCAUGUAACUUUCCUCAACUCCAAGGUAAAAUGCAUUCUUUAAGUCUAUAUCUCCCUCGACCUUUCUUUUUCUAGGUUCAAAGCCUCCUGCCUGACUGACCUAGGUCUACUGUUCCCAUGCCCAAUCUUUGAUUCAAAGGUAUGGGUGGUUGGCAAAAAGCAAGAGAUGGAAAAGGUACUCAUUUUGGCAUAGCAUUUUGACCUCAAUUCUGCUUUUUCCACUAUAUUUUGCAUUUCAAAAACAUGUUGGGAUGUCAUUUGGCCAUAUCCUCUAACCCCUUGUUGGGAUUCUUAAUGAAUGCAACUUAACUCCAGAAUACGAUCCCUUGUAAAUCACCUGACAGAAAUCACAUAAAACAGACAGUUUCCUCCCCCCUUCCCCAGUUUUAUCUCAUCCGUAACAUACUUCCAAAGUAGGUACAAUCACUUUGUCCAUUGGAAUCCUAACACAACCAGUGAAACCCAAAAUUUUGGAAUUCAAUCCCUAUGGAAUAAGAAUUUAGCAAAAGAUUUAACAGGAUGAGUGGCAAAUCAAAUAUAUACAAUGAAAUUCUGAUUUUACACUACAGUUCUUUUUCCUUUUUUGGCUGGAAGAUGGAGAGACCUGAACCUGUAUUAAAUCCUAAUUGAAAAGGCAAGAUAACGAAUAGAUAUUAACACACAAGAAGCAAGGUGCAUAAGAGAUAAAAACAUGAACUAAUCCCCAAAAGCCCUAGCAACCAAUGCAUAAAAACAUCAACCAAACCAACACCCCCCAACCCCCAACACAAGGGCAUUAGUUUUUCCCCUAAUCAAUAAGGGGGGGAGGGAAGGGUGUGUGUCUCUCUCUCCCCCUUUCUUUUCCUCCACCGAAAAGAGAAAAAGAAAAAGGGAAAAGAACUCUUUCGAAGCAUACAUUGAACAUGUAGCAUUACCAGACUUCUUCUCAACCCUGGCACUUCAAAAUGAUAGCAAAACUUCAGUCCACUCUAAUUGAGAAGCUGGUUGAAGUCAUAAUACCAGUCUCAUGGAACUUGAGCAUACAAAUCAUGUCAACAAAGAUAAAUCUAAAUUCAGCAAAAAAGGCUUCAGGACCAAUCACCAAAGUUCAAUAAAACUAAUUUGAUCAUCAGUCAUCAAGAUUUCACAAGUUUUCAAGUUAAAAAUUUCCCCAUCAAUUACAGAUCCAACAAAAGUGCUUUGCAUUACUACACUCCAACAUAUGCUUUCACGAGGAGCUUAUGCAAGGGUAACAAUAUCCAACAGCCAUAAACUUAUAAACAACCAAAACUUUAAUUUUAGGUCCAUGGAGAAUCACAAUUCAAAAUUUCAAUACAAUCAACCUUCUGUGAACUGUUAGAUAUGACCAAUGCAACAAAACAUAGGAAAAAGUCCAUGUCAUCAAUUGUAUAUUAAAUCUACAGUAAUUCUGUUGGGGAAAGCACAAGUGAUUAUGGAUUAUACACAAUUUGGGUGGAAAAGCAAUCCAAAACGAAGUUACCAUCCUGAUUGUGCUUAGAGAUGAGUGAAUGAAAUACUCUUCAAUCUUUACCAUAAGAAUUAAUUCAAUUUGGAAAGAAAAGUUAAUGGGUGAUCGCCAAAAGAAGCACCUUGCAAUCAAACCCCCAGGAUUUAGAACCACAACCUAAACCUUUUUUUCUCUAAAAUCUCAAUCCCAAGGUCAAAAAAUUCGGGCCUUUUUCUUCUUCAUGCACCACCGUUUGGUUGCUGAGAAAACAAGUAUCCCCAAAAAAGGUAAACAUCAUCUCAACUCAACCAAACAGGCAACCAUGAAAAACCUAACCCACAAUAAAUAAAUAAAUAAAAUUAAUUUUUUUUUUUUCGUUUCCUUCAAUUUCUCAGCCACCAAACAGGAAAACAAAAAAUCCACAUAGAGAGAGGGAAAAAACUAGGGCUAAAAAGAAACCUCUUCUCGCCACCGGUGUAGUACUCCUGAGGGCCAUCGGAGUCGCUGUCGGAGUCCGGAGCAGUCGGACGAUUCAAAUCGGAGAGGGUUCGAAUGCCACGACUACUGGAGGGCUUCGACGAUUUCUUAUCCCGGGAAGCCAUAGAAGACUCAGAGAAGAUAAUAGCGAAGAGUUGUGAUGCGAUCUGGGGUUUAACCUUUAUGCUUCAGACCAUAUUCCAAGCUACCAAAGUUUAUAUAUAUAUAUAUAUAUUUCUUUUUUUCUUUUUUCUUUUUUCUUUUUCUGAUAUUUUCAUUUUUAAACUUUUUAAAAAUAUUUUAGAUGGAAUAGAGAAUAUUUUUGUUCAGAAAAAAAUUAUAUUCCAUGAUUUUAAAAGGAAAAAAAUUUCAAACUCUCAACUUCAUGUUUCACAAGGAAUAAAUUCAUUAAUUUGAAAAAAAUAUAUUUUAAAAAUAAAUUUUUAGAAUUAUUUUUAAAAGAUAUCUUCGUAAAAGUAUAUUGUCAUAUUUGUAAUGGAAAAAUCUUAAAAUAUUUUUUUAUAUUUUCAACUAUGUUUUAAAAAACACAUUUAGAAACGUAUUUUCAAAAAAUUAUUUUUAAUUCAAAACUUAUUAAACAUGUUUUCUAAAUUAAAAAAAUAUUAAGAUACUGAAAUUAUAUUAAUUUGUUAUAAAAACAUUUUUAAAAUGAAAUUUCUAAAUAUAAAUUCAAUUGCAUAAUAAUAAUAAUAAUAAUAAUUCUAUCCAAUCUCUAAACCCAAAGAUUAAUAAUUAAUAUUAACUCAUUUGUUUUUCUUUUUUUUUAAAAAAAAAAUGGGAGAAUCUUAUAAAAUUCUAAAUAUCCUUUUAAUAUUUAAAACAUAAAAGUUAUGAAAGGAAUCAUCAUCCAUGUUCUAACUUCUAACCAAUCAUCAUCAUCCACAUCUAGCCCGUCGUUCUUUUGAUCUAAUCAUCAUCCACAUCUGUUGCUCUCUUCAUCUAAUCAUGGGAUAAUUUAAAUUAUUCUACAAAUAGAAAAUUAAAUAGGCUUUACAAACCAUAUGGGUCACUCUAUUUCAUAAUCAUUUGAUUGUUACACCUCACAAAAAACCCAAGCUUCUCGGCUUUUCUUUUUAGCAUCUUCACUAAGUUGGGAAAAAAAAUUCUUAGAAAGGGAAAGUGGUAAAUGUAUCGAGAAAUUUACAAAUGAUUUUGGUAAUGUUUCUAUAUUAAACAUGUAUUAAAAUAAAAAUAAAAAUUGAAUUUAUAUUAAGGAUAUAUUUAACAAAAUACUUUUUAUGUAAGUAUAAUAAUAAUUAUUAUUAUUAUUUUUAUUAUUAUUUUAAAUGUAGUUACAUUCCACGAUGAAAGUCAUCUGAAAUGUCUUUUAUAUAGAUUUUGAGGUAGGAAAUUGUUUUUUUAAAAGAUAAUUUCAGUAUUUUUUUUAAAAGAAAAAAAUAUAUUUCUAUGAUAAUUUCAUACAAAAUCAAUUUGCACCAAAAUUGUUUUUUGGAAUAAUAAUUUUCCUAGAAAAAGUUAUUUUCUGUAUGUAUAUAUAUAUAUAUAUAUAUAUAAAUUAAAAAAAAAAACAAAGGGUUUAUAUUGAAACUUGUUUUUUAACCUAUAUAAAACACUAUAUGGAAUGUGUCUUUUGUAAUUUUCUAUGUGAAAAACCAUAUGGAAGGUGUUUUUUAAUUACAUUUCAUGUGGAAAAAUGUUCUUUCAUAAUAUUAUAAAUUCAACAUUUUAUUUUAAAGUAUGAUUAAUUUGAAAAUUAUGCAAAUUAUAUCUUAAAUAAACAACUUCCCUCCCUUUCAAAGGUGCCUAGAGGAAAUGCUAAACGUAUCUUGGUGAAUUUUAAUCUCAAUAAGAAUACUAGUUUUUACUGUUCAUAUGUUAUAAUAUGAAUAUACCACAUAAAUUUGUUAUGUAUAUAAUGAGAUUCCAUUGAUAUGGAGGCAAUUCCAAUAGAUUUAUUAGAGGGUCUCAUUGGCAUGCAUCUAGUAGGAAUUGAACCUAGGAAUUCCCCAAUUAUAAGUUGGGCACUUUAAUCAUUCAACCAUGAAUGUACAAUGGGGAUCCUCAUGCAUGGUGAAUAACCAAAAUCCAAUUGAAAUGAAAUCUUUAUGAUAAAUCAAUGUAAUUUAGAAAUAAUCAAUAAAGCAUCAACCUAGGUGGAUUUGCCAUCGGUAGGAGGACAGGAGAUGGUUAUCGUAGGGCACAUUACGACCUAUAGGUAAUAUGGAUCGACAAACUUAAUAGCAUAUAAUAUCCGUAAUAUAUUGAAGAGGUAACUUCCAAUGCAACCAAAAUUACCUCUAAAACUUUUCUUAAAUAUUUUUUUUUUUAAAUUUGCUGAUGUCAAAGAAAACCCAAGCAACUAAAACUCAUAAUUUGUCUCUUCAAAAGCAAGUAAUAUUUUCAAUUUUUUUUUUCAAAUUACCUUUCAAUUUGAAAUUUUUAUUUAUUUUUAUAAUACUCAUGAUUUAUCUCUUGAAAAGCAGCUAAUUUUGUUUUUUUUCAAAAAAAAAUACAAAUCUUAAAAACCAAGGGUAGAUUAGUACGUAAUUAAAUAUUUUUUAACAUACGAAAAAUAUCUUUACUUUUAAUAGAAAUAUUUUGAAAUAUAAUUCCUAGAUUUUAUCACAAAAAUGGUAACUUCUUAAAGUCAAUAAGUAAUAAUUAAUAAUUGAAUUUGGGUUUGACUACAACCUCGAAUUUAAUGAUACUUUUUCAAUAUUUUUAGAUUUCAUUUAAUUUCAUUAAUUGGACCUUUUUAACCAACUAAAUCUCACAAUACGCCGGAACCUUAAUAAUUUAUUGGAUUAAAGACAGUGGAGAGUGAGUCACCGGAAGUCCCACAGUAAACUUCCCUAUGGCGUAAAGCCAUAUACCAGAAGCUCCGACCCUACCACUCCACUCUCCACCCACUAAUGGACGGUCCAAUCCAACCCAACCGAGGCUCAGGCACCGGCGACAAGCGUCUAAAGUACGCCUUUGACGCCGGCUUCUUAUCGGGCGCCCACCCUCCCGACACGCCCGUCACCGUCGACAGUGACAACAGAGACUCCACAAUUCCCCUCGGUUCCACUUCGGAGAGCUGCGACUCCGCCGACGAAUCGAAGCGGCUGGCGGAUCUAGCCGCGAGCUUCCGAGUUUUCUCGGAGUCGCUGGCGAGGAUGGAGCUGGCGGAGAUGGAGAUGCUCAAGGCGAGGGAGGCGUUCCGGCUCGAAGCGGAGAAGCGGCGGCUGGAAUCCGAGGCGGAGAUGACUCAGAUGCUGUUGCAGACUCAGCUGCAGAUCGCAUCGCUCGUCUCACGGAGUCCGAGCCGGAAACGAAAGCGUGGAGAAGAAGAUGAUCCAUCGAUCUCCGAAAGGUAAGCUCCCGAAUGCCGCUCUGUCUAGAAAGUGGUUGAGCCCGUAACUCGGCCGAGUCACUAACUAUUUUUCAUUAACUGAGUCAAAUGCAGGGAAGGAGGUCUGCUCCUGAGUUUACUGCAGUGCAACUUGCUCCUCUGAUCUCUUGAGGUUCGAAACAUUUAAGUUCAAACUAUGAAAUGUACCUAUAUUUUGAACACUUAGCCUACAAUGGCAGUCCAAUUAUUAUCAGAUAUGAUCUCAAACACAUUUCAACUAACUUCUCAAUAUCAAUUUCUUUUUCAGUCGCUUGUAUGAAUUUAUCUAUAGACCAAUGGAAAACCAAACCUAUCAUGUUUGGUUGUUAUUAUAUGAAUCCAACUACACACCCACCUGGCCUCUGAUGUACCAUAUUCAGCUGAAGGCUAACUGGGGCUGCGUCUGAUUACGGUUAGAUUUUUCGGUUUUCUGGUCUGCAAUGCUGAGUAGAGUAUUCGCCCGGGUUUUAGCACUUUCAAUGUACACUUGAAUGGGGGGUAGAAUCACUUGGUCUCCAUCCUUUGGGGCUUGGCCUCGAAUCACCUAUUGGAUUGAUCAACUAGGGUUUAUUACCAAUACUACGGCAUGAAGAAAGCAAAGAUCAAAGAGAUAGCCAUUACUCAUUACCUUCGAUGCCCAAUGCCGCUCUGCUUGUUGACAGAUGUCCCUGAUAUCCCUUCCAGACAUGCUGGAUACAAUACAUGACGAUAGUAGGGUAAGAAAUUCGCCCAUCCCAAUUAAAGUAAUAGUCUAGCAUAAUAAAUUUGCAUAUGAGAAAAAAAUGAUGGGUUAGGAAUGGAACGGUGAAUUCUAUUCAUUCAAGCAGUUCCGGUUUUUGAGUAAGGGAUUUAGGUGGCCUCAUCUAUUGUUGUGGAACUUACCCUUCUGUUGCUGUGGCAAAUUCAACUAAUUCGGACUCUGUCAGAUGCUUUGCAAACUGAGCUGCUAUUUUCUGACGAUCAUGGUUGUCAGGUAGGCCAAAGGUGAUCAUCGAAUCAAACCGACUGAAUGAAAACACAUCAAACAUGUUAGAGAACACCCCACCAGCAUACAACUCUUGUAAACAUGUUCAACUAUAUACCUCAUCAGAGCAGGAUCAAGGUCUUGCUUUCUAUUUGUUGCUGCAAUUACCACCACUUUUUUAUCCUGCUCAAAUCCAUCAAUCUUCGCCAAAAAAAAAAAGGAGUUUUAUUUAAGGCGCUACAAUAGCUAGAUCAACCUUAAAAAAGAAAUUAAUCCCUAAUUUUACAUGAGAGUCGGGUACACAAGGAAAUGCAUAGCUACAAAAACUGGAUGAAUGGUCUGCAAAAACUUUGCAGAAUAUGGCUACAAAAAAUCCCAGUUCUCUUUGUACCGCUGAGAGCUUGGAAUUGUGCACAAGAAGUGCUCACAGGUAAGGAAAUCUAAGAUGCAGUCUCCAGCAUUUGAGGUAAAUAACUGGGAACAACCAGCCAACAUGUGUGCAUCUGUUCUGUAUAAAGGUCUACUGAAUGCUUUCCAGUACAAAUUGGAAAUCAAACAUAAAGGAUAUUUCGAUGACAGGGGGAAGUACUAGACAAAUACAUAUUGAACCGUAAUAACACUUUUCCUAUGGCGUUUCAAAUAAUUAUUUGGAAGCCCCCAAGGCCUGGCUCAAGUGGUAACCGGGUUGGGAUGGCCAUGAAAAGGUUCAGGUUCCAUUCCAUGAGCCUAAAAAAGUGAUCAUAAAAACUGUAUAUACAAGUACAAUUCACCUGUCGCAAUAUCACUGAUAAAAUUCUUCGGGUAGCCUCAUGCAUUUCUCGACUACGAGAAACAGCAAAAGAAUCAACCUGUAGAAGUUUUAAGCGGGAGUCAAGAUUACUGAGAAAGUUCAAUUGAUGUGACUGCAUGUAGAAUGUAAGACGAGCGCUUGCACUAUUAUGAAAAAUCUUUCAGAAAAGAAAUGGCUUAAAGGUAAAUAGAUGUUUCUUCAAUACAUUUUGGAAAACACCUCUGGGAAGGAAUUAGUUGCAUCAAUUACCUCAUCUAGAAAAACAAUGGCACCUUCUGGGAACUCAUUGGCAUGCACAAACACUUUCCCUAGCAAGCGCUCACUUUCACCAUAGUACUUUGACAUAAUAGACUCCAGUGGCAGGUAAACCAAUGGCACACCCUGCCAUGUAAUAGCACAUAUUAAUUAUUUUAGUCAACCACACAUACUAAUAAUCUUAUAGAGAUGCAGAAAAUACACAAACAAAGAAAUUUAUUUUAUUUGGAAGCUAAAGAUUUUAAGGGAGCACAAUACUUUUUUCUGCAUAAAUCCACACAUCAACAAAUACAGCAAGCAUUCCCACAAUGCAAUGUUAGCCUUAUUUGCAGUUGCAGAACAAAAGCACAGAUGCUGCUUGCUGCAUAUUCAGGGGACUCAUUGCAGGUUCAACAAUAGCAUGCAUUGUUCUUGUGUUCCCUUUUUUUUUUCCUUGUUUUUCCUUUUUUAAAGGCAAGUGUCAGUAGUGAUGUCUUCUUCAGAUUAUGAAAAUGCACCAAAAAUAUAUGACCAGGCAGGAAUAUGUAAAUAGGACCCAAAAGGUAACCACUAAGAUCGUUGAAAAGGUUCCCUAGGCAAAACCCCAGCAGAGGAACAAAAGAUCUCAGAUAAGGGCAUGUAAAAAGCAGUUCCCAGAGGGAGAUCAUGGCAUCUGGCAAUUGUAUGCCUGUAAAAAAAGAAAGGCAUCCGGCCAUUGUAUAAAAAUCCCAAAUUUACCAAGCUAAUCAAUAAAUGAUGCUACCAUCAAGUUGAAGAUUUUUCUAACUAGUAACUUAGGACAACAGUUAUAAAAAAUUAAUAGAUCAAAAACUAUAUUCAGUCAAAUGAUAAGAAUUUGAACAAAGAAAAUUACAAAACCUUCAGACCCAAGCAAGAAUUUAAAUUUUCAAUCCUAUUUCCAUAACAAGGUUCAUCAUAAAAUAGCAGUCAAACAUAGAAAGUGUAUAUACGUGGCAUUUGAUAAAGAUAAAAAAAUAUAUAUAUAAAGGUUCAGUAUGAAACAAAUAAAACAACUAAUGAGGUUGUCAUUUAAGUGCACAGUAGCUUACUGCUUGAUUAGCAAUUACACGAGCACAAGACGUCUUCCCUGUACCUGAAGGCAAACAUAUACUAUGAGUAAGCUUAUGCAACCUCUCAGACAAACUGAACUCCGGGCCAAAAACUAGAAGCAUUGACUCCAUUUUCACUCCAGUUGAAUUCCAAAUGCAUGAAAGACAGUUCCAAAACAACAGUAUGCAAUGCUUACAGAAUCAUAUGAUCAACAUCAUUGCAUCAUGUUAAGCCUCACCAUACAAAAACCAACAAAAGUCUGAAUUACCUUGAGGUUUUUAUGCAGAAUGAAAGGCAAGCUACAGUUUGCAGUUAAAGUUUGCCCUUGUUGCUUUUAUUCAAGUUCCAUAGUUCCCAAUACUAAUAUGAAGGGCAAACAAACAAUUAUCUUCACUAAUAAUAAUAUUAAGCGAUGAACAUUCUGAUAUGGAUAUAUCAUAAUAGUGAGAAUAAUUUACCAAAAAGUCAAGCAACAAAAACAAUCAGUUUAGUGUAACAGGAGCACAUGAAAGGCAAGGCCAUUCAAAAAACCAAAUAAUACAGAAGCACUAAAUUAUAUCCUUCCUCCUAACUGAAUCUUGUGCAUGAGGCUGGGUUCUUCUUCAAUCCAAAGAUUGCUAGACUGAGGCCAGAACUAAGCCAAUUUGUCAAUCCCUUGUUUUAAGUGUGUACCAGCCAUGGGCUACGUCCUGUCAUCAUCUUCUGCUUGGUGGUUGCAGAAAUCUAACCUCAAGACAAAGUGGUUCUUACUAUAUUCAAAUUNNNNNNNNNNNNNNNNNNNNNNNNNNNNNNNNNNNNNNNNNNNNNNNNNNNNNNNNNNNNNNNNNNNNNNNNNNNNNNNNNNNNNNNNNNNNNNNNNNNNGUUCAAAGUUUUUUCAAAAUAAAUUCUCAAGCUGUCAUCAGACUCAUCAGUCAUCACAACCAGAUGUCACAGCAAUCAAUAACCAUGGAUACCCUUUUUAAACUAAGGUUUAUAUCUGUAGUUCAUGUGAUUCAGGUUAUUGAAAAGCAAACCCCUUUUCAGUAUUAUACAUUUAUUUCUUUAGCAAAAGACAAUGGUACCGAAAUUGAUACCAAAGCAAACAUGUAAUCUAGACCAUUUAAGUACACCAUGAAAUCUUAAUCAUUAAAGGAUAAUACAAAAAAUAAGAUUAAAAUAAAAAAAUUAAAUCAACUAUGAAAAAAAUAAGAUUUAGGUAUUAAAUAAAGAAAUCCAUUCAUAUACACGACAAUUUGUGAUCAAUCGAUUAUCUUUUCAACAUAAUUUAUGAUUAAUCAAUUAUCUUUUCCACGUUUAGGAAUGACUUGUUUGUUUAUUUAUACCUUGCACAUUCCUAUUAUGGGUGUGGAAACAUAAUUAUCUUUGGACACUUCCUUAAUCCCACACAUACCCACAAACCACCACCUUUUUUUCUCUCCUCUCUCGGCACUUCAACGAGAGGGAAGGUUAGAUGCUUGGUCCUAAUCAACAUAGAGUGCUCAUUAGUUAUAAUGCACUCUGAUGGCAUUAUUUUUUCAUACCUUAGCUAUUGUCUCUUAUGUCAAAAAGCAAUGCUAAAUUUAUCCAAGCUGCUUUUUCUAUGUAUGGGCUUCCUUUUCCACAGACUAACCAUCGGAUAUUUGGCCAGUAAUAGCAUUGAAGAAAAAAAAAAAAGCCAACUUUUUUUUUGAAAGACGAUUUAGUUUCAAAAUGUUCCAAGCAACCUGUAUCUUUAAGAGACUAUUUUAAUAUAAGAUAAAUGAUUUUUAUUAAGUUCUUAUAGUGCAAAGAUUGAAACUGUUUUUUACAACUUUUUUUUUGAACCCCUCAAAUAUCCCUAGACGACCAAUAUGAUUGUGGUUUAAUAUUUUUAGAUCUGAAUUCUAAAGAAUUAAUCAAUCAAAUCCUCAUGAAUGAUGCAAAUUCAUAUUACAUUUGAAGCCUGUCACCCCCCUUUACACUUUACUUCAAACGUCAUCUAAAUUCUAAAGAUGAAGAAGAAACAAGAUAUGAUUUAAUGUGGGCUCACAUGCAUGCAAGGAAUCCAAUGAUGGAUUUCAGCCAGAAAAAAAAAAAGGGGGGGAGAUCUAGCUCAGGACACAUUGAAUGAGUUUCCGGGUCUAGACAUCCACAUGUUGAGAAGGCAUGGCUUCAAUUACAGUUGCCCAAAACAUCAAAAUUGCAGAAGUAAAACAAUCUCCCAUAAUGGUAAACAACCAGCAUACUCUUACACCACUGGAUGUUUAGAAUGAUAUUUCAUGUGAUGAUCAUGUUCUAUGAGCAAGUCAGCCUAAAUGGUUAUUCAAUAAUACAUGGAUUAUGGAUGUGGAUGGUUUAAUUAGUCGAUUCGGUUUUGGAUAUUAAAAUCUAAUUGAAUCAAUCUAAUCGGUGUUUAUGCAUUAAGAAUCAAACUAAUUAAACUUAGGGAGGAAAUUUAUCGGUUCCUAAGUCUGUUUACUUCGUUAAUUGAUACUUUUUGUUAAUUUCGACUAGAACCAAAAAACUUAAAUAAUAGUAUUAUAACAAUUUAUCUUAUGAUUUGUUUUUUUAUUACAUUAAUACACCCAUUUCAAAUUAUAUUAUUGUAACCCAAUGUUAUGAAUAGCUAUUGUGAUUUUCUCUCUAUCAACUAUAUAUUAAGCAUGGUUUGGAAUCAUGUGAAAAAUAUGGAAUAAAUUAAUAAUAUGACCGAUAAAAGUUAUAAACCUUUGGUUUUUUAUGUUUAACUUUUGGUUCGGCUUGGUUUCUCAUCAAUUUUUAAAAUAACAAAUGGUGAUUCCUAGAAUCUGCAUCAAGGGUGCUUAUACCUGAUCAUGACUUUGCAGUAUCACACAGAGAUUUGGAUCUGCUGUUCUAAUACAUGGCUGUGAAAGUUUUUCAGUUGCUUCACAUCAACAUACCAGAAGUUACAACCUUACAAAGAAAAAUUGCUACCUUUUUUGAAGAACAUACCAGUUAUGAAUUCCAUUGUGUUAAAACUCACAAAUUUUCUAAAAGACUUAAAAAAUGAUUGGGAAUAAACUGUAGAAGAAGCUAAUAAGUAUAUAAUAUUCUUUUUGGAUGGAAAUGACAUAAGGGUGCAAUAAUACCACUCUUAAACCUAAGGAUGGGUCAUGAUGACUUUUAGAAUAGCUUAUAAGAUAUGAUUUCAAAUAUCAUAAAAGGUUUGACCUAAUUUUACUAACCAUCAAUUACUUUUCAAAUGAGAUAAUCAAAGUUCGAUUCAAUAAUUGGUAUCAGAACUAAGGUUUAUGGGUUCGAGUCAUAGAAAGGAUUAUUAUGAUGCAAAAAUGUUGCUCUUAAACCCGAAAAUGGAUCACCCAAAUAAUGACUUUUAGAAUAAGUUUGUAAAUUGUGAUGUCAAAUGCCAUAAAAGAUUUUGCUCAUCCUCAUCAACUACAAAUUAGUUUUCAAAUGAAAUAUUAAUCAUAAUUCUAAUAUUACUAUAAGUUAUGAAGUUUUAAAACUAUCAGGAUAUGAACUCAGCAGGUGAUAGUUUUAUUAGCUAUAUUGGAAUGUAAAAGGAAUAUGGUUUAAUGUUAUAAAUAGAUAAACAUUGAUGGACUUUGUCCUGGAAGAGAUGAAGGUCCAAGGUUUAUGAAUUUCAUACUUGUUAAUGGUACGAUAGUGGUAUAGUGGUGCUAUCAAAUUAAUGGGAUAAUGAAGUAGGAUUCAUUGGACGAGAGGGAAAAAUCUUCAAAAAAAGGAAAAAAAAAAGCGACGGGUAUUUCAAAAUGCUUAUCUAAAUUGUUUCUGAUCAUGAAUACAACUCACUAAUUUGGACACACUAAAAGAAGCCAUUAUGCAAAUCUUGUUGGUGAACAGUCUAAAAGAAGUCUUGGUAUCAACCAGGCAAAGGGGGUCAUACUUACAAUCAAAUCAUGGAGUCAACUUGUAAGUUAACUCUCAUCAAUAUCCCGAUUGGAGAAACACCAAAAUACCCUGAAAAUGGUGGGUCCAAAAUGUCCCUUUCAAGGCGUGUGUACACCACAUAAGAGAAUUGAAGGCCCCCACUAUCUGACUAUCCUCCAUUAAUGCAGGCCAAGCCCCUAAUUAUUUAGCAGGACUCCCUCAAAACAAGUUGGAUGGCACCUCGCUGGCCAGUUGUUUCGAGAUGGGUAUGCGGUGAAAUAUCAAUAAUAAAUAAUAAUGCAGUGUGUUUUUCACUGCUCAUUCACUUACAACUUACAAGUUUGAAUAAACAGGACUUUGCUUUUCCAUAAACAGAUAGCCUGUCCUGUGUUCCAUGUUCCAUGAGUGGCUUUUGUAUUUUGUCUCUUUGACAUGACUCCCCUUUCCCCUUGCAUCUUUAUUGAGUGAUUGCUCCACUGUGUAUAUAAUAAUAUUGAUGAGAACUGCCUCUUCUCUUGAGGGACUUGUAACUGAUUUAUGGUAAGGGGGGUAGUGUUUGUUGUGUGGCCCACACAUGAGUGAUGAAAACCCCUUUGAUGGGCCAAACUCUAGAGAGAAAGAGAAAAAAUCUUUGAAAUGGUAGGAUUAAUAGUUGUUUUUUGGCCGACAAUGUGUUGCUUUUUCUUGUCUAAUCCAUGGCACUAUGAAUGGAGAAGAACUAUUGCCAUCGAGAUGAUUUGGGACUAAGACGUUGGGGUAGCCUGAUUUCGUACCUUCUCUCCAAAUCACCUUUUAUUUGAGUAAAGAGGGAAAGUUUUUAGAGAGACCAAGGGGUAUCUACAAAACUAUGAAAUUAGAUGGAAGUUCUUAGGAUUAAGUAGAGGAUUUCUAAAGAAUUUUGUACAUAAUUUAUUUGUAAGUAAUAUGGAGUAUCCUAAAAUUGUGAGAAAUCAUUAAUAGUUCUAUAGAUGUAGCCAAGGCACCUAGUGCUCGCAAACUUCCAUAGUCUUGUAUAGCAUUUUUAUGUAAUGCAAACUUUUAUUCUUCUAAAACUCUAUGUAUUGUCUCUUUUGCUCAUUUUUAGUUUCUAUGUCACAUAAUAUUUAUUGUCAUUGCAAGUUAAGCUUAGGAAAUGUUGAUUUGAUAACUUCAAGCAUCUUAAGUUGUCUAAGUGUAGCGUAGUUGUUAGGAAAUAUCUAAGUUUGUAAUAAGUGGUAUUAGAACAUAGUUGCAAGGAGGGCAUUGCAACAAAGGAAGAAUGUCAAACUCUAACAUUAAUAAAAUGACUAAUGAUCAAUAAGCUUGUGAGAAGGAGACCAAUCUUAUCACACGUGGAGGAAGGAAUGAUAAGUCUCUUGACGUUGUUACAAACAUCAAAUCAAGGCUAGCCAAGGUGGAGCAAGCCACAACUUGAUGGAGCAAAGGAUAGAAAAUUGUCUAAUGGAUCUAAGGGAAUAGAUCCAAAAGCUCAUAGAUGGAGUGCUACAUUCACAAGUUCAACUAGUAUCACAUGGGAAACUUAUGUCCUUCCAAGCUAAUGUAAUGAACAUGCUUUCAAGCCUAGAGUCAAAACGAUGUGGCAACACGUAUAUAGAUGUGUGAUGUGGAGAAUUCUCAUGAGAUGAUCACCUAGAAGACUAUAGUUUUUGCCUGUGCAAUGGCCACUCAUGAGACACUUAAGGUGGAAGUGUCAAAACUAAAUGCCUUUAAUGGCAAGUGGGAUAUUAAAGAGCUAGACAACUUUUUGUGGCAUAUGAAGUGGUAUUUUGAGGUAAUAGUACUGAAUGACAAUAUUUGUUAGAAUCCUAGUUAUACUAAUCUAAGACAAUCACCUAAGAGGGAGGUGAAUAGGGUGAAUGUUCCUUUUUACAAAAUCAAACUUAGAAUUCAAGUGGCAAUUUUAUAUAAUAAUAAAACAAGUAUAAUAUGUCUUAGGUAAAGAAAGUAUAUAAAAUUGUGUGAAUGUCUUAGAUAACUCGACCUAUAUCCACUCAUCUCAAACUCUUAAUCAAGUGAGAGUUCCACUAACAAAGCUUCCAAACUCAAGCAUUCUGAUUGAAACCAAAAUAUGUGUUCUAAUAGCAUAUAUAUAAUAUGAUUUAUGCAAUAUAAAAAACUCAAAUCAUCUAACUUAAUUUUGAUCAAUUAUAAAACCCUAGUUAUGGAUUUAACUUUUUGAACCUAAUUCCAAGUUUAAGAGAUUAAAAAAAAUUAUAAGUGCAAAAGUCAUUAUCAACCAAGGAAAUAAAAGGGGUUAAACAUGCAUAAUUAAGAGACUUGAGACUUAUGAACCAUGAAGAUUCCAAGUAAGGGUGUGAUGAGUAACUCAUAGGCAUGAAAUACUAGCAAUGGAUGUUGAGUGAAAUAUGGGGCAAGCAACCAUAAUGGAAAAGGUUUGAAGCAAAUGUAAUCAAGUUCACAUGGAAAUUUGGAACUUAAAAUAUAGCAAUAGUACAUACUUUGACUUUUAAGGUAAAAUUUAGAGUACUUUCCAUGGUCAAUUUUGGGUAAGUUAUAUAUCGUUUCAAAGUUCGGGAAGUCAAAAGUCUAACGCUUUAAAUAAUGUAUAAAUCGGAACUAAAACGAAUAAGUUAUGCUCGUUUGAAAACAACUACGCAAAGGUAAAUGACCAUUUUGAAAUUCAACUUAUAUAUAAAUUCGAAAUCCAUUUCAAAAUUGCCUCAAUUUUGAAAUCACAUACUAUGACAUUGAUGUUUCACCUCCUCUACUUCAGGAAUUACAUAUUAGGCACUUCAUCUGCCUUAAGUGGGUCUCACACGACUAGACAUCGUGAUUUUAUUUUUUAUUUUUAGUCAUUUUUAGGUAAUUAUUUUUAAAAUAAGUGGUCAAUAGGAACAUGUCAUGUGUUAGGUUGUUUUGUGGAAACUAUAAAAACUCAAUUUUUAGGUUUUCUAAAGAGUUUUGAUUGUUUUUAGAUUGGAGAGAAGAAGAUGAAGUUAGGAUAUUGGUUUGUUCUCUUUUUCAUUAUUAUUAAUUAAUAUAUUAUUUUUUAUUUCCUUAAUUUUCAAGAAUGGUUCUUUAUCUUUCUUUAAUGAAUUGUGCUUGUGAAAACACACCCAUGAGAGAUUAAAGAGUUUUCUUAGGGUGUCAAGCAUGAAAACCUAGGGUUAAGGUUUAUAAGGAAACAAUGGGAAAUUGAACUCAAUAAUGGAAUGAAUGAUUGGUUAAAGGUAUAAUUAAUGAGAAUUGAGAUGCUUUCCAAGAUCGGUUUGAAUUAGGGGGUGGUUGUAACGAUCUACAUCCAAUCGUGUUGAUAUUGUUCGCUUUUGAUCCAAAGGGAUCCCCACAACUUUAAAACGCGUUUCGGAGUUUAGAAAUGGUUGUUCAGAAUGUGAGUCUAGUAUUUAUAUUUUAAUUAUUAAUUAUUUAUUUACUUUACUUGUAUUUUUAAUUUUUAAUUUUUAAUUAUUUAUUUACUUAUUUUAAGCCCAAGCCCAUAAUCAAAUAUUAAAAUCUUUUGGGCUUAGGUUGGUGCUACCAUUAUUUAAUCGACUCAACCAGUUGAGGUUUAGCCUCGAUCUAUUGAGGCUUAGCCUAAAUUGAUCGAAGCUUAACCUAAACUAAUUGAAAUAAGGUUCUACCAAUUUUAGGCAUUUUUACUCCCUUAAUCAAUUGAGCCUAAUCAACUCAACUAUUUCCCUUGUACCUUAAUCGGUUACAUUGAAAACAUAUAUUUAAGAUCAAAUCAAGGUUGAGAAACCUCAACUAAUAGUUCCUCAAUGUUUAAAAAACUUUUAAAAAUAUUUUAACUAUAUUAAAACUUAGGGUAUUUUCUCAAAUCAAAAUUUUUUUAAUCCAAUUUAUAAAAGAAUUCAAAACAAUUUAAUACUUGGAUAAUUUUAGUUGCUUAAGUAAAAAUGAAGUGUAUGACCUUAAUGCACCAACAACCUUAUAAAGAAAUCCCAGAGAAAUAGUCUUGAAUUGAUAUUCUCUUUGAGGUUUUCUCAUUCUUCUUAAUUUUCUUUCAACUUAAUUUAUCUUUGUGAUUAUCACUUUGAAAUCUUCUUGUCUAAGUACACUUAGAAUAAAUCAUUAAUUUCAAACCUUAUUUUAUCAUCAUCAAAACUAAGAUUAACCAAACCCUAGUUUCACAAGACUACCAAGAUUCAUAUCACAGUUCUCUAACUUCUUGAUAUUGUUACUCUAUGGUAGCACUAAAGGUUUGUCAAUGUAGACCUAUAUUAAGACUUGUCUUGUGUGCCAAUAAGAUUAGGUGGAACAACAAUUACCUAGAAGACUAUUAGAUCCACGCCCAAGUGACCAUGGGAAAGCUUCACCUUGGAUUUUUUUAUUGAGUUGCCUAAGUCAAAAUGCUAUGACUCAAUCAUUGUGGUGGUGGAUUGGUGCUCUAAGUAUGUAACAUUCAUAGUAGACCCUAUAAAUUGCAAUGUGGAGAAGAAAACAAAGUUGUUCCUUCAAUAUGGAAAAGUAUUAUGGGUUGUCAAGGUACAUUAUCAAUGUCCAUGACUUGUGCUUCCCUAGAAAGUUUUGGAUGAAGCUUUUCAAGACGAUAAGGUUAGAGAUUCACUGUUUUACUAGUUUUCAUCCAUAGAUAGAUGGAAAAACAGAGAGGGCGAAUGCCUUACAAGAACUGCACUUAAGGNNNNNNNNNNNNNNNNNNNNNNNNNNNNNNNNNNNNNNNNNNNNNNNNNNNNNNNNNNNNNNNNNNNNNNNNNNNNNNNNNNNNNNNNNNNNNNNNNNNNNNNNNNNNNNNNNNNNNNNNNNNNNNNNNNNNNNNNNNNNNNNNNNNNNNNNNNNNNNNNNNNNNNNNNNNNNNNNNNNNNNNNNNNNNNNNNNNNNNNNNNNNNNNNNNNNNNNNNNNNNNNNNNNNNNNNNNNNNNNNNNNNNNNNNNNNNNNNNNNNNNNNNNNNNNNNNNNNNNNNNNNNNNNNNNNNNNNNNNNNNNNNNNNNNNNNNNNNNNNNNNNNNNNNNNNNNNNNNNNNNNNNNNNNNNNNNNNNNNNNNNNNNNNNNNNNNNNNNNNNNNNNNNNNNNNNNNNNNNNNNNNNNNNNNNNNNNNNNNNNNNNNNNNNNNNNNNNNNNNNNNNNNNNNNNNNNNNNNNNNNNAUGAAGGCACGGAUGUCGGUGAUGGUAUGGUGGUAGUUGAAGUGAGCAAUCAUGCGGGUUCCAUCAGACAACCUGAGCUGGAUCGAGGUUGAUGGCAAUGCUUCAUCCACGAUCAGUCCCAUGUUAGGAGAUGGAGCGGUAUUGAGAGGAGUGGGAGCAACAGUGGGCUCGGGUUCUGGAGCUGCACUGCUGCUUCCUAAAGUUCGUCCCACCCCCUGAAAUGGAACCCGGGUCUUUUCUGAUUCCUGCAAGAAACUGAAAUAUUAGAAAAAGGAUAUGUG
rnacentral:lncRNA from 1 species